rnacentral:rRNA from 1 species
AACCAGCACCUCAAGUGGUCAGGAUGAUUAUUGGGCCUAAAGCAUCCGUAGCCGGCUCUGUAAGCUUUCGGUUAAAUCUAUGCGCUCAACGUAUGGGCUGCCGAAAAUACUGUAGAGAUAGGGAGUGGGAGAGGUAGACGGUACUCGGUAGGAAGGGGUAAAAUCCUUUGAUCUAUCGAUGACCACCAGUGGCGAAGGCGUCUGAUCAUAACGGCUUUGACGGUGAGGAACGAAACCCUGGGGCGCAAACGGG